rnacentral:rRNA from 1 species
UGGGGGAUAUUGCACAAUGGGCGAAAGCCUGAUGCAGCGACGCCGCGUGGGGGAUGAAGGCCUUCGGGUUGUAAACUUCUUUUGCUCUGAACAAGGCAUGCUAAAGGGUGUGUUGAGUGUAGGGGUUGAUUAGCGCCGGCUAACUACGUGCCAGCAGCCGCGGUAAUACGUAGGGCGCGAGCGUUGUCCGGAAUUAUUGGGCGUAAAGGGCUUGUAGGUGGCUGGUGGCGUCUGUCGUGAAAGAUCAUGGCUUAACUGUGGGUUUGCUGUCGGUACGGGCUGGCUUGAGUGCAGUAGGGGAGGCUGGAAUUCCUGGUGUAGCGGUGGAAUGCGGAGAUAUCAGGAAGAAUACCGGUGGCGAAGGCGGGUCUCUGGGCUGUUACUGACACUGAGGAGAGAAAGCAUGGGGAGCGAACAGG